AAGUAAAAGUCGUAACAAGGUCUCCGUUGGUGAACCAGCGGAGGGAUCAUUACCGAGUUUACAACUCCCAAACCCCUGUGAACAUACCACUUGUUGCCUCGGCGGAUCAGCCCGCUCCCGGUAAAACGGGACGGCCCGCCAGAGGACCCCUAAACUCUGUUUCUAUAUGUAACUUCUGAGUAAAACCAUAAAUAAAUCAAAACUUUCAACAACGGAUCUCUUGGUUCUGGCAUCGAUGAAGAACGCAGCAAAAUGCGAUAAGUAAUGUGAAUUGCAGAAUUCAGUGAAUCAUCGAAUCUUUGAACGCACAUUGCGCCCGCCAGUAUUCUGGCGGGCAUGCCUGUUCGAGCGUCAUUUCAACCCUCAAGCACAGCUUGGUGUUGGGACUCGCGUUAAUUCGCGUUCCUCAAAUUGAUUGGCGGUCACGUCGAGCUUCCAUAGCGUAGUAGUAAAACCCUCGUUACUGGUAAUCGUCGCGGCCACGCCGUUAAACCCCAACUUCUGAAUGUUGACCUCGGAUCAGGUAGGAAUACCCGCUGAACUUAA
rnacentral:rRNA from 1 species